UGUACACACCGCCCUGCUAGUACCGAUUGAAUGGCUUAGUGAGGCUUCAAGAUCGAGCCAGGAAUGGGGGCAACUCUGUUCUGGGUUUGAGAAUUUAGACAAACUUGGUCAUUUAGAGGAACUAAAAGUCGUAACAAGGUUUCCGUAGGUGAACCUGCGGAAGGAUCAUUA
rnacentral:rRNA from 1 species